GGGCCCGUGGGGUAGUCUGGUAUCCUUGGAGCUUUGGGAGCUCUUGACCCCGGUUCAAAUCCGGGCGGGCCCA
rnacentral:tRNA from 1 species